UGAAGAUUCAAAUGGUUCUCUCCUUCAUCAUCAAUUCCUUAGCAGAAUCAGCAUAUAUAUCUUCUUCUCUGAUCAUCGAGAACAUAGUAAUAUUUGAUGAGAAUGGCCAAACCAGUCUCCCUACCGAUGCUCUUACUUCUUGCAUUCGCCUUAGUCACAGGGAAGUUCUUGGGAAUGGCAAAUGCAGGAAUAUGCGUAGAAGAUAUGGGGCCAUGUGACAGAAUGUGCGGCAGCAUCUGCAAACUGGCACAUAGAGGCGGACAGGGGAUGUGCAGCGAUGUUUCCAACCAAAAGGUCUGCAAGUGCUUCCAUGAGUGUGCCAUCUCCUCCUCCCCCUCAAACAAAGCCUAAUAGUAAUAUGUGCCAAACGAGUUUCGGUGUCUGGGAUGAAUCGUGCAAGGUUGAGGACUGCAAAUCGGCGUGCCGCUCGAUUUUCCCCGGAAGAGAACGCUGUGGGUUUUGUGACACGGUAUCAGAGCCCAGGUGGAAUUCUUGCAUUUGUGAGCACAAUUGCUAGUUGCUGUAAAAGGUCGUGCCUUCUGGUGCAAUGUAUAACCAAAAAUCCUUUCGACCUUCUCUGUUUUUGAGAACACGAGCUUAAUGGUAGGUUAGAAUGCAGUGUACGGUAAAUAUAUAUUUCUAAUGAUUUUCUUGUGCAACUUGCCAUUGUGACAGACGCAUGCCAAAAUUUUCUUGGCAUAAUAUAGUUAUGUUACAUUCAUCCAGA